GACGAACGCUGGCGGCGUGCCUAAUACAUGCAAGUAGAACGCUGAAGCGAGGAGCUUGCUCUUCUUGGAUGAGUUGCGAACGGGUGAGUAACGCGUAGGUAACCUGCCUUGUAGCGGGGGAUAACUAUUGGAAACGAUAGCUAAUACCGCAUAACAAUGGAUGACACAUGUCAUUUAUUUGAAAGGGGCAAUUGCUCCACUACAAGAUGGACCUGCGUUGUAUUAGCUAGUAGGUGAGGUAAUGGCUCACCUAGGCGACGAUACAUAGCCGACCUGAGAGGGUGAUCGGCCACACUGGGACUGAGACACGGCCCAGACUCCUACGGGAGGCAGCAGUAGGGAAUCUUCGGCAAUGGGGGCAACCCUGACCGAACAACGCCGCGUGAGUGAAGAAGGUUUUCGGAUCGUAAAGCUCUGUUGUAAGUCAAGAACGGGUGUGAGAGUGGAAAGUUCACACUGUGACGGUAGCUUACCAGAAAGGGACGGCUAACUACGUG
rnacentral:rRNA from 1 species